rfam:Sarcophilus harrisii ctg7180002437843, whole genome shotgun sequence.
UUCUUGGCUGCUUGUGGGAGUGGUGCUAACUAUAUCUUGUUUACCUUAACUUUCUUUGGAAAAAGUUUUGAAGUUUGUUUGGGGUGUCAUAUCUUGGUUGUUCCCCAGCACUGAAAAGUGUUGUUAUCUAACAACAAACACUAGCACACACUUUUAUUGC